CGACACUGUGCUCUGGAAAGUGGCUUGUGAAAAUUCAAUGGAAGAGAACGGUCAGGUACUCUGAGGCCUUCCAUGUCAAUUCCAGGACUGCUUCUAGGGCCUCAUCAUCCAGUUGCAUCACGCUCCUUCUGAGGACUCCAGUUUGGCAUGUUUCCUAUCACACAGUGCCCUCCACACCCAGCUGCCCCGGGACCUCUGACCUCCUCACCUCUCCUCACUUCCCCUGUGCAUCUCUGGUGCCCCUGCCCUGCUGUGCCGGAUCUCCAUUUUCUAACCAUGUACCAGGCUAUACAGGCAGAUGGCCGUGGGAAGCAGAGUGCUAGCACAGUCAACGUCUUCCUUGUCUUGGUUACUCCAUC
rnacentral:lncRNA from 1 species